AUUGAACGCUGGCGGCAGGCCUAACACAUGCAAGUCGAGCGGUAACACAGGGAACUUGCUCCCGGGUGACGAGCGGCGGACGGGUGAGUAAUGUCUGGGAAACUGCCUGAUGGAGGGGGAUAACUACUGGAAACGGUAGCUAAUACCGCAUAAUGUCGCAAGACCAAAGAGGGGGACCUUCGGGCCUCUUGCCAUCAGAUGUGCCCAGAUGGGAUUAGCUAGUGGGUGGGGUAACGGCUCACCUAGGCGACGAUCCCUAGCUGGUCUGAGAGGAUGACCAGCCACACUGGAACUGAGACACGGUCCAGACUCCUACGGGAGGCAGCAGUGGGGAAUAUUGCACAAUGGGCGCAAGCCUGAUGCAGCCAUGCCGCGUGUAUGAAGAAGGCCUUCGGGUUGUAAAGUACUUUCAGCGGGGAGGAAGGUGUUGAGGUUAAUAACCUCAGCAAUUGACGUUACCCGCAGAAGAAGCACCGGCUAACUCCGUGCCAGCAGCCGCCGUAA
rnacentral:rRNA from 1 species